GGUUCAACUAAGAUCAAAUGGGCCGCCCACCUCCAUUUACCAUAUUCCAUCAAGCGACUCGACUCGGCGCAGAUCUCACAUCCAUCUCGCGAGAUCGGGGAGGGAGAGGGGAAUAAGAAGCAGCGCAAAACCCUACUUCCACUGCUGUCCUGCCCGUGCCUGUUUCCCCAGAUCUGCGAUCCGGUCUAGGCGAGAUGGCGAGCACGGGGCGGUCGAUGCUGCUGUCGCUGCUGGUGUUCGCGGUGACGCUGUCGCUGCUCGAGAUGUACAGGGCCAAGUUCGCCUCGUCGGAGCUCAUGACCAUCGCUGGCGGAUUCGUCUGCUCCCUCCUCUUCCUCCUGCUCCUCACCUUUAUUGGGAACUACCAAGAGGCUAGUGGAGUUAGAACUGGCUGGGGUGCAGGUGUGUACGUUGUUGUCGCAGAACUUGUUGCACUUAUUGUAGCUGGCACUGUCCACCGUGUCUGUAUCACAACAUGCUUCUUGUUUUCAGCUGGACUCCUUUACGAGGUUGACAAGCUCUCUGGUAUGAUCCUUGCUAGGAGCGAGUCUAAAGUGAGGCGGCAUUGAGCACAGAAGAGAAGAUAUUCAUGUACGAUGACUUGUUUUGUAGAUCAAAUCGAAAUGUUCACAAUUCACACCCUAUAUUAGACUCGAAACCCAUUCAGCUACUUUGGCAGGCAUGUAGGUCUUGAGUUCUGGAUACUGGUGCGUUUGCACCGAGGUCACAUUCUGAUAUUUGUCUGACGAGUUGACUAGUCGCGCCUCGCCUGGUUGCCGGCGUUGAAGUUUUGCUCGAUUUGUUUGGAUUUGAUUUUGUCGAGCGACAAGCGUGCCAGCUCAAUUGUGUUCUUGUGGCGAGACGAAAUGCGGCAAAGAAGCUGUCAAUACCAAACCCAGGAAGUGUUCAUCCGCAGCGUGCCGGCCGAGUAAAAUGCCCGCGGCGUCGGGUCGGCUGACGUGCGAGCGUGCGUGAGCGCUGCGCGGACAGCCUCCCCGGCCGUGCAGCGCCUACGCGCGCGGCGGCGGAUUCAGCCGGAGCUGGUCAGCCCUCGACGGGGAGAGCUCGCUCGCGUCGCAUGGAUUGUGUUGCAGAGUAAUCGAGGCAUAAUAGAGUGAAAGUGAAAACUCUGGUUGAUUUCAUUAAUUAGUCAUAUAUUUAAAUAAAAUGAAGGGUUAAAUUCA